UACGUAGGGCGCAAGCGUUGUCCGGAAUUAUUGGGCGUAAAGAGCUCGUAGGCGGCUUGUCGCGUCUGUUGUGAAAGCCCGGGGCUUAACCCCGGGUCUGCAGUGGAUACGGGCAGGCUAGAGGCAGGUAGGGGAGAACGGAAUUCCCGGUGUAGCGGUGAAAUGCGCAGAUAUCGGGAGGAACACCUAUGGCGAAGGCAGCUCGCUGGGACGUUACUGACGCUGAGACGCGAAAGCGUGGGGAGCAAACAGG
rnacentral:rRNA from 1 species